CCUACGGGAGGCAGCAGUGGGGAAUUUUGCGCAAUGCUCUUAAGAGUGACGCAGCGACGCCGCGUGAAUGACGAAGGCCUUCGGGUCGUAAAGUUCUUUCGACAGGGAAGAAAAUGCCUAUAAGUAACUGUGUAUGUAUUGACGGUACCUGUAUAAGCAGCCCCGGCUAACUCCGUGCCAGCAGCCGCGGUAAUACGGAGGGGGCGAGCGUUGUUCGGAGGGACUGGGCGUAAAGAGCACGUAGGCGGUGUUGUAAGUCAUUAGUCAAAGACUAGAGCUCAACUUUAGUAAGGCUAGUGAUACUAUAAUACUAGAGUAUCAGAGAGGAUUGCAGAAUUCCUGGUGUAGCGGUGAAAUGCGUAGAUAUCAGGAGGAAUACCGUUAGCGAAGGCGGCAAUCUGGCUGGAAACUGACGCUGAGGUGCGAAAGCGUGGGUAGCAAACAGGAUUAGAUACCCUUGUAGUC
rnacentral:rRNA from 1 species